rnacentral:rRNA from 1 species
CUACGGGGGGCUGCAGUGGGGAAUAUUGCACAAUGGGCGCAAGCCUGAUGCAGCCAUGCCGCGUGUGUGAAGAAGGCCUUCGGGUUGUAAAGCACUUUCAGCGGGGAGGAAGGCGGUGAGGUUAAUAACCUCAUCGAUUGACGUUACCCGCAGAAGAAGCACCGGCUAACUCCGUGCCAGCAGCCGCGGUAAUACGGAGGGUGCAAGCGUUAAUCGGAAUUACUGGGCGUAAAGCGCACGCAGGCGGUCUGUCAAGUCGGAUGUGAAAUCCCCGGGCUCAACCUGGGAACUGCAUUCGAAACUGGCAGGCUAGAGUCUUGUAGAGGGGGGUAGAAUUCCAGGUGUAGCGGUGAAAUGCGUAGAGAUCUGGAGGAAUACCGGUGGCGAAGGCGGCCCCCUGGACAAAGACUGACGCUCAGGUGCGAAAGCGUGGGGAGCAAACAGGAUUAGAUACCCCAGUUAGUC